rnacentral:sRNA from 2 species
ACGUAAUCAUGCGUUAGGGAUUGAAGUGGAAAUCCUUUUUGUGAGGCACGAGCAAAAAGAUUGUAGCGGAAAGCCCGCCCGUUU